UAGGUGUACGAGCAGAGAUGUUGGUGUGCCGCAGUUAACGCGAUAAGCAUUCCGCCUGGGGAGUACGGUCGCAAGAUUGAAACUCAAAGGAAUUGACGGGGGCCCGCACAAGCGGUGGAGCACGUGGUUUAAUUCGAUGCAAACCGAAGAACCUUACCUGGGUUUGACAUGUACGUGGUAAGAGUCUGAAAGGAUGAUGACGUUGCCUUCGGGUAAUGAGCGUACACAGGUGCUGCAUGGCUGUCGUCAG
rnacentral:rRNA from 1 species